UUCCCUUCCCUUCCUCCUCCCUCACCGCCGCUAACUUCCCCCAGACGUUCCGGGAGAACGCCGCCUUCGUGAACACGAGGAUCGACUGGAAGGAGACCCCGGAGGCCCACGUGUUCCGGGCGGAUCUCCCCGGGCUCAAGAAGGAGGAGGUCAAGGUGGAGAUCGAGGAGGAUCGGGUGCUCCAGAUCAGCGGCGAGCGGAACAUGGAGAAGGAGGACAAGAACGACACCUGGCACCGGAUGGAGAGGAGCAGCGGCAAGUUCAUGAGGAGGUUCAGGCUGCCGGAGAACGCGAGGAUGGAUCAGGUGAAGGCCUCGAUGGAGAACGGGGUGCUGACUGUCACUGUUCCCAAGGUGGAGGAGAAGAAGCCCGAGGUCAAGGCCAUCGAGAUCUCCGGUUGAGAGGUGGUGAAUCUACGGUCGGCGCUGCGACCUGUGUAUACAUAUGCAUAUAGAGUGCCUGUGUGUGCCGUCUGCUGUGUGGCUUUUGCGUGUCCUGAGUUGGGAGUCGCGGUCUAUGGCGAUGUCUGAUAUGGCAAUGUUAAAUAACUACAGUGACUCUCUACUUGUAAUGAGAUCUGAGAUAUUAUGUAAUAUAUAGUAACUUCUACUUUUUGUGAUAUCGGUUCCUCAAAUUCUUUCGGUUUUUUCACCUUUCCAUUUUCCUAUUGCACUGAAUUUGCCUACUACUGCUUUGUUCCAAGGGAGUUCAAUUGGUUCGUUCUUUUUGCAACGAUUAAUUCAAUUUGUUGGAAGGAUUCCUCGGAUGUGCAAGUGCUGUACUCGUUGCGAUCAUUUUUAGAAUUGGGUUUGCGGUACCCACAAAACAUUGUACUCAUGAGCUCGGCGCGAGCUGCAGGGUGUCAGAUAACAGGAGCAGUUAUCCCAACAAGCUUUUCAAUUUCUGCAUGAUCAUCAUCGGAUCAGAGAUCGAGUUCUCUAGUUCUUCUAUUGUAGUGUGUGAACAAGCACCUUUCUUGAUGCUCAAGCUCGACUUACUGUCUUGUCUUUGAAAGCUGUGUCUCUUAGCCUCAUCUCUUUCCCUUCCUCCCCCAUCAACCAUCAGUCUUCCUUGCUGCUUUUGACAUAUUAUAUAUUAAAAAUAUUUUUAUAUAUAAAUACAUAAAUGAAUAAAUAAUAAUAAUAAAAAGAACAUAAAAUUAUUUUAUUUUAAAAAUAUUAAUUCAAUAUUAUUUAUUAUUUUAAUUUGAUAAAUUCAAUUAUAUUCUAUUGCAAUAAUUCAUAAAAUUUGGAAGGAAAAAAAAGUAAGAGAAAAUCUCAAAUAAGAAUACAAAGUUUUGUUCAAAAAAAAAAAAAAAAAAUAAGAAUACAAAGUGAGUUUAUUUUUUCAAAUAAAAUUUUAAAGUGACAUUUGUUCCAAAUAAAGAUCCAAAGUGGCUAACAAGUCUCAAAUAAGGAUCUGAAUUUGUCAUUCGGUGAAAAUGUUUACCGGCUAGCGAGUGUGUGACAUUUUCGGUGGCCGAAAUAUGAGCAAUUUUGUCUAAAAAAAAUAUAGAUAGAAAUUAACAAAUCAUAAAAACAAAACUCCACAAACUCUUCACGUUCUUUCGACCUAAAAAAAACUCCACAUUCUCAUGUUUUUCUUCUUUUGCUCUUCAUCUUCUCUGUUCUUUGUCCUCUCUCGUUUGGAGCACCGAAAUUUUCUGUUAAUGGAACACGAAUUGAAACACAACAAAAAAACCCCUACCUUCGUUUCUUUACAUAUUCUUCUUUUGUUUUUAGUCUUCGUUUCAACGAAAAAGACAAAUCUCGAGUAAGCCAAGGAUCUUGCUCCAUUAACAGAGAAUUUGGCUUCUCCAAACGAGAGGGGACAAAGAACAUAACGUAAAAGAUGAGGAGUAGAAGAAGAAGAACGUAAAGAGUAUGGGGGUUUUGUUUUUAAGUUUUGUUAAUUUCUAUCUAUAUUUUUUUUGGACAAAAUUGCCCGGAAAUGUCAUAUGCUCAUCGGCCGGUGAACAUUUUGGCCGGCCGGUAGGUUUAGGUUUUUAUUUGAGACUUAUUAGCCACUUCAGGUCAUUAUUUGGAAUAACAAUUAUUUCGGGUCAUUAAUUGAGAUUUCCCAAAAAGUAAUUCAAGUUUUAGUAUUAAAUUUAGGGAUAUAUGCGGUAUAAGUUUUAAAAUUUAUCGUGAAAGUAUAAUUGAAUUUUAAAAUUGAUCAAAUUGGUACAAUCAAGUCUUUUUGUUGAUAUCGUCAAUUUGUUUAACAAAAAAUCUUGAAGAAGAAUUUUUAAAUUAAUUUAUUUAUCUUAUGUGGUAUUUUUUAUUAUUUUUUCUUUAAAUCUUAUUUAAAGAAUAGUAAUUAUUUUUAUUAAAAAAGCUAAAAUAAUUCUUAACCUGAAAAAAAAAAGGUAGGUUAGCUGCUUGGUUGGAUAGGCGACUGCCACCGUGGAGGGGGUCGGCGAGAUCGGUGGCCCUAGGUGAUGGUGGGUGGCAACUUGUGGUGGAGUUGGGGGGCCUUGCAAGGCCUCGCCGGCCUCGAGCGAGGGCAUGGCAUCGCCCAGAUUUGGGCGAGCCUCACUCGGGCCUCUAAGGCAUCGCUUAGAUCUAGGCGAGCCUUGCUGGCCCUUGCUUGAUUGGUGAUGGCUUCGCUUGGGCUGGCGAGAUGGCCCACCCGCCACUUAGGGCCAGUACUUCGAUAGUGGUAGCGGCGCCAAUCUACCCCUUUUUUUUAUAUAUUUAUUAUUUGAUCUCUCAAGUAUUGAAAAAUUUUAAAAUUGACCCCAUGCGUAUUAGAAUUCCGGAUUUGCAUAUUGGAGCUUGUCAGGGAGAGUUGACCACAGUUGGAUUUUUCCAAACUCAUUGAUCGCAUGUUGGAGCGUAGGACAUCACACAAAGGCUUUUGGAAAGUGUCGCUACUUCUUAGAUUCCACCUGAGUCCAAAAGCCUGGAAACUUCCUCCUGCAGAGCCCAUCUCACUACGCGACCAGUUUCUCUGAUUGUCUCUUUGAACCCUUCCGGUAACAGCUCGAAUCCACUCUGAGCCUCUGACCAUGCCAGUCCGACCAUCCACAAGAACGUUGCUGUUCGCCAGCCCCCAGCCGUUUCUGCAAACUCUACCUGAGCCAUUUUGAAGCCAAGAUUCCUAAGCUCACACGUGUAACUGAAUAUUUGCUUGCUUAUCAAGCCCCAAGAGGCAACCGGUUUCUUCCCCUAAUAUGCUGGUUGUGUUGGAGUCAACGCCUAAUAUGAAAAUAAGAUAAGUUCUAGUUGGACUUUGCCUCUGAUGUGCCGACUUAUUCCAGUGAGAAUGCUGGAUAUUCAAAAGCGGUGAGUGAAACCAAAAGUGAAGAACUCUUGGUCAAAAAGCAGAGGAACCGCCUCUGUCUCUCUGUCUGUCUAGAUUUGUCUCUUGUCCUCCAGAAGCCGCAAGUUGCUAGAGAAGAAAGUCAAAAGAAAAGUUGCAGCCCACAAUUGUUGACUCCUCAGCCAAGAAGAAAAUGAAAGUCCAUCAUGCAUGAAGUCUGGACGUGAGGCCGUGAAGUUUGAGCCUUCAAGUAAGGCUUGGCAGUGCCAACGUAAGGUAGGCCUCACAAGUCGAGAGAAGAAGAGAUUAAGAGAGAAAGAGAGUCUCGUCAGAGAGAAAGCAAGGUGUGAGCUUCACGCCAGAGAGGGCCUCAAGUCACCAGGUGCAAAGUACAUCAACGAAUCAUGAAUCACGCAAGAGAUUUUAUUGUUGCUCCUUCCUCUGCCAUCAUAUCUGAGAAUACUUGGUGGAGAGGUCCUUCACAGUUGGUGUUGAGUCUUGCUGCAAGAGCUAAGGGAACUCAGAGGAGAGGUCAUCCUUUGGUAAGCAGUGGGGAAAUAGAUAGGAAGAUAUAAUUGGGGAUACUGCACGGACCGGGAUGAUCGAAUUGAGUGUGACCUAUUCCAAUGGGGAAGCACUUGGAAUGCAGGACUGACCUCAAUUGAGCAUCGGGGUUAUGUGCCCUUGAAAGGAACAUCAGGACUUGCACCUAUCUACGAUUGCGUCUCCGUCCUCGUUCCUCCAUUGCUCUCAUCUGACCACAACCAGAGCCUGGGUCCUGGAUCAUUUGAGCAUACGAAAAGUAUUAUAUUCGGUACUGCGUCGAUUGCAUGUUAAGAAAAAUAAAGGAGACUUCUCUAGUUAUUUCGUGUUUCUUGCCUGGAUGGUAAAAUUGAAAGGGGCAUACAAAUCGAUUACAUCAUUGAAAGGUGACGGGAUUAUGGGAGAGCGACUUUCGUACUAUGAGACAUGUGGAGGAAACAAAACUACAUGAGAAUACCUGAAAUUUUGUUACCUUUCAUAUCUGGAUUUGCUCGUUCUUAUGUUAAAGCCAGCAGAGAUAAUUCCUCCUCUGGCAAGCUAGCUUCUUUCACCGAGGACUUCUGGUUAAUUUGACUUCCAUCCCAAAACUUGGUCUUAUCUCUUUGCAGAUUUUCACUAUUCCACUGGAGGCGACUCCUCCUAUCUGAUGGCAUUGAAAUCCACUGCUACCGACGUCACCAUAAGCUCGUUAUUGAUCCGAAAUGAAGUGAUUAUAACUCGGUUUUAACAUGAGAGUGCUUGAACCUUCUUAAAAAAAUUCAAAUCAAAGAAUUUUUUGGGAAUCCUACAACCAUAUUAGCCUAACAGAAAAAUCGUCUUGGAGCAGAGUCACGUACACAUAUGUAUUGUAGCCGACACGCACAACCUUAGGCGAGCUGAUAGAGCUUGUCUAUCCAAGAAAGCUAGAGAAAGCAUGACUUAGAAGCACAAGAGCUUCAAAGUCUGCAUUAUUUCAGAUAACUAGCUAUUUCUCGAGACAACUCAAGUGUAUCAAAGAAAUAUAAAGCUCCAUGAUUCAGUUGCUGUGAAAAUCGAAUUGAUCUGGAGGAUUCUCAUAUUCUUUUUUUUAUGAGAUGUGAAAUGAAAAACCUUGUCGUUAAGAUAAAGACCAAUUUUUAUGCUACUACUUCUUUCUUUUGUCAAAUGACAUGAGUGGUCUCUCGUGAUUGACUUAAGAAAGAAGGUUCAUCCUCAAAAUGUUGUCCCUGCAACAACAACAAAAACAACCGAGUCUCAUUCUGCUAAGUGAGGUCCAUCGUAUGAAUCCUAUUAUGCCAUUGCAUUUUAUCCUUUGUUAGAUUAUCUGUGAAAUAUAGAUAGUACCCUACUUAUCGUUGGGUUAGUGAUAUCUUUCAUUGUCAUUUCCUUCCACAUCUUUUUCUGGUUUCUCUUGUCCCUUUUAACAAUGGAUCCAAUCUUUAAUCUCACAUAGCGUCGUAGGGCACUUGAAAGCUUUCCUUCAACAUUACCAAACCAUCUUAAAUGGCCUUCCUCAUCUCAAAAUGCCUUUGAGAUGUUAUCUGUAGAAUGGUUAUGGUGAAAUCGACUUAUUACUUUUAUCUGCCUAUUAUCCUAUCUAAUUUCAAAUGUGUUAUGCUUUUGAUUUUGAUUGACUUGUUUUACUACGCGUUAUUACCACGUUAUGUAACCAAUAAUGACACAACUGUCACAUAAAACAUCUUCUCCACAUGUAAGGGAUGGGAAGAAGUAAUGAUAAUCAAUUGAAGAAUGAAAUUGUGGAUAGUGCAAUGGGAAAAAUGAGGUUCGGGUAAAGAUUAAUAUCAAUAACAAUCAUUAUCAAACUCUUUCCAUGAGUAAAAUAAUAUUUGGGAGAGAAAAAAAAUCGUUGGAACUACCAUGAUAUAAACAAUGACAUCUCACAACAAGGUUAUGUAACCAAUAAUGACGCGACCAUUACAUAAAACAUCAUCUCCACAUGCAAGGGAUGGGAAGAAGUAAUGAUAAUCAAUUGAAAUGAUUAAUAAGAAUGAAAUUGUGGAUAGUGCAAUGGGAAAAAUGAGGUCCAGGUAAAGUUUAAUAUCAAUAACAAUUAUUAUCAAACUCUUUUCACGAGAAAAAAGAUUAUUUGAGAGAUGGAAAAAAUUGUUGGAACUAUCAUAAUAUAAAGAAUGACAUCUCACAAUAGGGAUUAAGUAUGCGCAUUUGUUUCAACAUUUCAAAGGGUCCUCCAAAAGCUUUUGGGACGAAAUUGUUCCCUGAGCCGCAAGAGGUUCCAUGAUCUAGGCGCUUGCUCGACCUCUUCGAGGCUGCCAAACGAUUCGCUUUCCAGGCCUGCUUCCAAGAUAAUAUAUUUCCAUUCUCCAGUGGCCAUACCCCAUGGUUUUUCGUUUUUUUACCUUCAAAGCUACUUUGAAAAAUGCCCCAACCAAACCUUAUCUGCUCAAAGCAAAUAAUAGGCUUUGCGUCUUAAAGACACUCUCUCGAGAAUCUUCCAAAUGAACCCUAAAAACCCCAUUGCUAUGAGGUCAUUGGCCCAGUAUCUCCGUAUUAGCAGAAUGGCUAUAGUUUUGCUUUGGGAGAAGCUCCUCGAACCGCAUCUUUUGAUUAGCGGAAAAUAAACGCGAGCUGUAAUCAUGAUUUGGGAUCCAAUUAAAUUUAUUGGCUGGACGAAAUUUUAUUUAAUCAAUAAUAGAGGAAAUUAAGGGCGAUAACAAAAUAGAAAUUCAGAAUUCGUUUUAUCGUCUCAUGGGACGAGUUCGAGUUUUUUCUUUCCCUUACUGAAAAGAUCCUGACGAGGCCCAGUCCGAGGUUUCCAGAUGGACGGACCGGAUUCGCCAAAUCACUGGAACGUUCGUCCUAAAGACCGCGGGGGUACGAGAAUGCUCCUCCGUUUCCUAUUUAACACCCGACGCCACCACUUCCAAACCAUAUCGUCUGACGAUAGCAAUUCCUGUCUUAGUCCGAGCAUUCUGUCAAACGUUUCGUCGGCUCAAUCUCAUAUAUUCGCCGGUAAUCCCACAGCCAUGUCGCUCAUCCCAAGCUGGUUCGGCGGCCGCCGCAGCAACGUCUUCGACCCUUUCUCCCUCGACCUCUGGGAACCCUUCAAGGACUUCCCUUUCCCUUCCUCCUCCCUUUCCGCCUCUGAUUUCCCCCAGGCGUUCCGGGAGAACACUGCUUUCGUGAACACGAGGAUCGACUGGAAGGAGACCCCGGAAGCCCACGUGUUCAAGGCGGAUCUCCCCGGGCUCAAGAAGGAGGAGGUCAAGGUGGAGAUCGAGGACGAUCGGGUGCGCCAGAUAAGCGGCGAGAGGAACGUGGAGAAGGAGGACAAGAACGACACGUGGCACCGGGUGGAGAGGAGCAGCGGGAAAUUCAUGAGGAAGUUCAGGUUGCCCGAGAACGCGAGGAUGGAUCAGGUGAAGGCGUCGAUGGAGAACGGGGUGCUCACCGUGACUGUUCCCAAGGUGGAGGAGAAGAAGCCGGAGGUCAAGGCCAUCGAGAUCUCUGGUUGAGAGAUGGUGAAUCUGCGGCUGGCGCGACAACUUGUGUAUACACGUACACAGAGUGAGUGUCUGCGUGUGCUGUCUGCUGUGUGGCUUUCGCAUGUCCUGAGUUGGCCUGAGUUGGGAGUCUCGGUCCUCGUCUUUGAUAUGGCGGUGUAAUAGGUUGGAAAUAUGGCGAUGUGACAUAACUAUAGUAACCUGUUUUAUGUGAUAUCGGUUCCUCAAAAUCUUUCGGUUUUCUCGCCUUUCGCUUCCCCAUUCAGCACCGAAUUACGGCCUUGUCCCAAGGGACUUAAUUUAGUUCUUUUUUGGGAUGGUUAAUUCAUUCUCUUGGAAGAAUUCCUGUGAAGUGCAAGUGUUGUACUCGCAGGUUGUGAUCAUUUGUUUUUUUUUUUUUUUUCAAUUGGGUUUGGGGGUACCUGCAAAUUGCAUCGAGAGAAGCUGACAACUUUCGGGAUGAAACGAGGCUUAGAACCAUGAUUCUCCUUUUGAGCUCAGCGCGAGCUGCAGGGUUUCUUAUGCUGCAUUGUAUUGGGUUUGUCAGAUAACAUGACUAGAUAUCCCAACAAGUUUUUUAUUUCCGCUUGAUCGUCAUCAAAUCAGAGAUAACAAGAUCAGAUAUCCUUUCCUGAUGCUUAGCUCGAUUUCGUCUUUGAAAGCUCCGGGUUUCAUCCUCAUCUCUUCCCCAUCAACCAUGAGUCUCCUCACCGCUUGCUCCAUCUCUCUCUGGUUUAGAUCACCCUCCAACUCCAAUCCCACCAUUCAAACGUGGCACGGGUACCCUGCCUUCACAUUCUGGUCCCUACGGUUGGUGUAUCGUUGGGACUCCUUAGGAAAUAAUUUCCAAGGAACUAGUUCCAUCUGCAAAAGGUCCAAAAGCCUCCCGAGUUACGUGUGCUAAAACUUGCACCUCAUGAGCCCAUCUCGUAACACGGCCAAUUUUUGUUGGCUUUUUUGGACCCUUGCGCUAACAGCUCGAUCCACUCUGAGCCUCUGACUGAGCGAGGUCGGACCAGCCGGAAGAAUGCCACUCUUUGCCAGCCCCCAAGCCGUUUCUGCAAACUCUCCCUGAUCUAUUUUGAAGCCAAGCUUUCCUAAGCUCACAAGUAUAACUGAAUUAUGUGCUUGCUUAUCAAGCCACAAGAGGCAACUGGUUUCUUCCCUCUAUUAUACUGGUUGGCAAAGCCGGAGCAACUUUGUGCAGCGAGCCUGGUGAAAAAAAUGGCGCUCGUUAUUGUCUAUGGAGUUGGUCCGGUAACUGUUUCUCCAGGCAGUCCACUGUUCCAGAAAAUGCCUGAAGAUGCUCUGUUGUUAAUCAGGAUGGCUGCUAACUUCAUCAUGGGUUCUAAAUCGCCUGGUGAUACAAGUCCAUGCAUCUCGUGGGAUAAGCGCCUGGAAUAGUCUCAAUCGAUGUUGGACCUAAAGAGUCAAGGUGCUGCAGCUUAGCAUGUAUUGGUUCUACGACUUCAUAGUCUGAUAGAAAACAUAAAAACUUAUCCAAGAUUUGAAUAUUCCAGCAAGUCAAAAGAGAGAUACAACUUUUAUUCGAAUUUGAUACACUGUAGACUGCUUUCUUCCUUCCUAGUUGGAUUGCUCGACAUGAAUACGAGAGAAUAUGAUAUUAUAUGCAGUUUCAGCACGUGUGGUACUGUUGACUUCAAUUACAUGCCUCCUCUGUCCUCUGACUAAAGGAAGAGGUAAUGACUGGUUUAGACGGUGGGGCAACGGCUAUUGGAGCGUUUUACCUUCUGGAAACUGAGUCGCCCUAAAGACUUGGUAUGCUUACCUUUUCUUUGCAGCAAGAGCAUUUUACGAAAACACAGAGAGCCCCGUUAAAGUACUGCUUAAUGAGUAGUAGACGAUGAAAAUUGCAAGCCAAACUCAAAAUAUGUCUACAUGGACGAAUGAUGCAAGCUGUUGAGCGCAAUUCCUAUUUGAGUCACGCUGAUUAAUUGACUCUCUCUUUAGAUUGGCCAAGCAGUUUCUUUAAAUCUUGAAGAGACCCUCGCAGUGCUUUGGGAUAGCAAACAUAAUCAAGUCAGGAGCCUUUCCAGUUUAGUAGAGUACGACCAAAGAGAGCGCAUUCUUAACAUCCAAUCAGUACUGUGUGAUUGUUACUCUUGAUUUCUAGUGAAAUUCCUAUCGAGCUCCAUCACUGAGGUAAAGAAGGGUUUACUGCAAGUAUCAUUAUCUUAGAGUUUGUUGUGUAUGUUGAUAUCCGAGGGUUAAAGAUACCUUUUCAAGGAAAAUAACUUUUCUUUUGGAGCCAAGGGGGUUCAGAGAAAACCAGCAGAGUGCCCUACUACAAGAGCGCAAAGCAAUGCUAGGAAGUUCUAUAUGAUGAGCUGCCACCUAGCAAAGUACAUCAAUUCAAUCUUUUCCAGUUAAUUUUGGUCAAAUUUUGUUGACUAAAUAUCGAUCGGUUGACGUGAUACGAUCGACGCUGACGUGGAUAAUUUUUAAUAAUAUUUUAAUUUUUUUGGAUUUGAAUUUUACUUAAUUUUUCUUUUUCUUUUUUUUCAUUUUUUUUUCUUCUUCUCCUUCCUCUAGUCAAUCGUCAGACCUUUGGCAAUUGGCCAUCGGCAAGGCUUGAGCCCUCGCCAGAGGCUGUGAGGGCGAUCGACAAUCAGCCAGAGAAGACAGCUGGCGAGGUUGAGGAGGAAGGAGGGGCACAAAGAAAAAAGAAGAAAAAAGAAAAGGAAAAAAGAAAAAGAAAAAGAAAAAGAAAAAAAAGAAAAAAGAAAAGAAAAGAAAAAGGAAAAAAAUAUUAAAAUAUUAAAAUAUUAAAAUAUUAAAAUAUUAAAAUAUUAAAAUAUUAAAAUAUUAAAAUAUUAUUAAAAGUUGUUAACGUCAGCGUCAAUCGUGUCAUAUCCAAUGCUUAGUCAGCAAAAUCCGGCUAAAAUUAAUUGGAAAUUAUCGAAUUAACACAAAAUAAAAAUAUUUAAGACUAAAUUGGUAUUUAUAAAAUAUUUAGAAUUAAAUUAGCAUAAAUAUAAAAUGUUUAGGAUUUCUUGGACACUUUUCCCCCAAUAAACUUGAUUUAUAUUCAUGAUUUAGGAUUCAUUGAAUGUAAUUAGACAAAAUCUUAUUUAAUCAAGAAUAGAGGAAAUUAAGGGCGAUUACAAAAUAGAAAUAGAAAUCGUCAUUGUCGUAAUGUGACGGACCAGGUGUUUCCAGAUGGACCUACGGGAUUCGCCAUUUCACUUGAACGUUCGUCCGUCCGUCCGUUCGAGCGGGACUGGAAAGACCGCGAAGGUACUAGAAUGAUCCUCUCUUUCCUAUUUAACUCCACGACUUGUCUUCUAAGCUCCAUCGUCGAACGGUAGCAAUUCUCAUCAUCUUCCUUAAGCAUUCCAUCGAACACUUUCUCCGCUCGGUCUCGCAUUUUCACCGGUAAACCCAACAACCAUGUCGCUCAUCCCAAGCUGGUUCGGCGGCCGCCGCAGCAACGUCUUCGACCCUUUCUCCCUCGACCUCUGGGACCCCUUCAAGGACUUCCCUUUCCCUUCCUCCUCCCUCUCCGCCUCUAAUUUCCCUCAAACUGUCCGGGAAAAUACUGCUUUUGUGAACACGAGGAUCGACUGGAGGGAGACCCCGGAGGCCCACGUGUUCAAGGCGGAUCUCCCCGGGCUCAAGAAGGAGGAAGUCAAGGUGGAGAUCGAGGACGAUCGGGUGCUCCAGAUAAGCGGCGAGAGGAACGUGGAGAAGGAGGACAAGAACGACACGUGGCACCGGGUGGAGAGGAGCAGCGGGAAAUUCAUGAGGAGGUUCAGGCUGCCGGAGAACGCGAGGAUGGAUCAGGUGAAGGCCUCGAUGGAGAAUGGGGUGCUCACCAUCACUGUUCCCAAGGUGGAGGAGAAGAAGCCUGAGGUCAAGGCCAUCGAGAUCUCCGGUUGAGAGUCGGUGAAUCUAUGGUCCUCGUUACGACUUGUGUCUAUAUAUAGAGCAAGUAUGCUGUGCUAUGUGAGGGUUGGGAGGCUCGGUCCCAUGGUGUCUGAUAUAGCGAUAUGUUGUCCGCCGAUGACUCUUUAGUUGUAAUGAAAUUCGAAGUUACUAUUUUCUAACUUCUGUUUGAGGUGAUAUUGGUUGCUCAAAAGUCUUUUGAUUGUGUUUUGUUCGUGGGACGUUCCUUAUUUUUAUUUACAUACUGCUUCCGGGAGUUCAAUUAGUUUAAUUAUUUUUGGAUGAUUAAUUCAAUUUCUGGGAAGGAUACCUCCAAAGUGCAGGAUGGACUUUGCACAUCGUGAUCGUUUUUUCAGUUGGGUUUGGAGGUACCGGCAAUAUGGAGAAGCUGAUAAGUUUGGGAUGAAAACAAGCUAGAAACCACAUUACUCCUUUGGACUCAGAGCAAGGUUUGGGGUUCCUUCUGCUGCAUUGUAUCAAAUUUGUCAGGUAACAGGAUAAAAUAUUUGAUAUGGCCUUCAAUUUCUGUUCCAUCAUCAUCAGAUCAGAGAAAAAUGAUCAGAUUCACUGGUUCCUAUAUUGAGGCGUGCGAAGUAUCGCCUUUUCCGAUGCUCAUGUUGAUUUGGUCUUUGAAAGCCGCGGCUCUCAGCCUUAUCUCUGUCCCUUCCUUGCCAACCGUCAGCCUCCUCACAGCUUGCUCCAUCUCUUUCUGGUCUAGACCACACUCUAACUCCAAUCCCACCAUCCGAACGUGGCGCGAGUACCUCACCUUAGCAUUCUGGUCCCUGAAGCACGGUGGGCAUAUCAUUGGGACUCCUUUGGAAAUGAUUUCCAAGGUCGAAUUCCAUCUGCAAUGGGUCCAAAAGCUUCCUGUGGCACGGUGUGCUAAAACUUCCUCUAGAGCCCAUCUCGCAACACGGCCAGUUUCUUCGUUGGCUUCUUCGAACCCUUCUGGUAAUAGCUCGAUCCACUCUAAGCCUCUGUCUGAGCCAGGCCGGAUUAGCCACAAGAACGCUGCUGUUUGCCAACCCCCAAGCCAAUUCUGCAAACUUUCCCUAAUUCAUUGAAGCCAAGCUUCCUAAGCUCACAUAAAUAACUUAGGUAAAUUUGUAUGUAGAUUAAAAAAAAGUCUAUUUAUGAUUUUAAGCAAGCUUGUAGAUAAUGGUAUUUAAAGUUUCAUAGUGUUGUCAAAUAUAAAGUAUAUACUGUAUACAUUUUUUCGUACUUUAUGUAGAUGAUAUCUUACUUGCGAGUAAUGACAUUAGAUUAAUGGGACAAAAGUGGAUGUUAUCAAAAAAAUUUAACAUGAAAGAUCUUGGUGAUGCGUUUUUUGUUCUUGGCAUUGAGGUCCAUAUGGAUUGUUAUUGGGUUUGUUUUAGAGGGCAUAUGUUGAUCGUAUUUUAGAAAGAUUCAAUAUGCAUCAUUGCAAUCCGGGGUGAUAAGUUGAGUCUUUCACGAUAUCCUCGUUUAGAUUUUGAGAAAGUUCAAAUGAAUGAUGUACCUUAUGCUAGUAUGCUUGGAAGUAUCAUGUAUACUCAAGUUUACAUUAGACCAGAUUUAUUUUUGCGACAUGACUUCUAGGUAGAUAUUAGUCAAAUCUAGAAUGUGAUCACUGGGUUGUUGUCAAGAAGAUUUUAAGGUAUUUAAAGAGGACAAUAGAUUAUAUGCUGAUUUAUAGACAUGUUCCGAACUUACAACUAAUAGGGUAUUUGGAUGUAGAUUUUGCUGGUUGUUAAGAUGAUAUGAAAUCGACGGUGAAAUAUAUAUUUAUAUUGGCAGGAGGUGCAGAAAUCUAUAUAUUCUUCUACCAUGCAAAUAGAGUUUGUAGCAUGCUUUUCAGCUGCUAUUUAGGCGAUUUGGCUCUAGAAUCUUAUUAGGGAGUUAACUGUUUUUUAUUUUGUGGGUAGAGCUAUAUAGUUAUAAUAAUAAUAGAAGUCUCCAAAAGUCUAAGCAUAUGGAGGUCAAGUUUAUGACCAUAAAUGAAUCAGUACAGAAUAGUGGUGUUACAGUAGAUCAUAUUCCUACAGAUGAUAUGAUUGUAGAUCCAUUAACUAAAGACCUAUGCCCUUAUGUGUUUGAGUGAUAUGUCGUUAGCAUGGGUUUAGGAGUAUUUUGGGAUGUUGUUAUUUAGUGAAAGUUGUUUUUAUUUUUCUUUUAAUAAAGUUUAUAUUUGUGUUUUUUAUAUUUAGUAGCGUUUUGAUAUAUAUUAACAUUUGCAUUCAAUAAAAUAUUUUUAAAUAAAUUGUUAUUAUGUUGAAUAUAUAUUGAUAAAAGUCUUAAAUGUAUUAUAUAAACCUUAAGUGAAUGUUAAGGGCAUCGGGUUAUUAACCUUGAGUAUAUGUUUUAUCACACAUAAAGAAAUAUUAACUGUAAAGGCAAGGCAUAUGUGGGUUUACUAGAACCAUAAAAAUAUUUUCUAAUGGCAUAGAUUUUUGUGAUACUUAAAAUGAGAGAAUGGUGAUUGACAAAUGGGAUCUCUCUAUGAGAGAUGUUAUUCAUUUAUCACACUACCAUAUUAAAUCCAUAUCAAUAAAGUUAAAAGCACUCAUAAGCACUCGUGACCAUGAAAGGUUUUGUGUGUAUACAUGCAGCUCCUACCAUGAUUUGGUGUUUGAGACUUUAUAUGAUGUAAUUGACUAUUAAGAAUUAUCUCUUAAAUUAAUGCGCGCACAUACAAUACAAUUUCAAUUAAUAUAACUCAAGUGGAAGAGUAUAAAAGUUUUUCUAAUGUGGGUUACAUUAAUUAAUAUUGUAAUUUACCAUUUUUUGGGAUUGGUCUAAAGUGAGAUAGAAAGAUUUUUAAUUAAUUUAUAUGGGGCUAGUUAGUGUGGGUUAAGUUGAACUUGACUCGUAAUAAGAUGGCCUAGUUGGAACACUAUAGAUAGUCGUCAAGUCUCUCCUCUAACUCUAAUUUUCAUAAUUAUCCUCACAAAUGAGCAUUUACCUAACGCAAAAGGGUGAGGGGGUUGUCUCAUUGAGCCAAUGAUAUAGAGGGCAAAGAGGAGAAUGACUUGUGCUUGAAUCAUCGCUUUUUUGCUUUCGCAUCAAGAACGAUGAAUUCCAAAACAAGUGUAUUAAUUUUUUUACUUGAUUAUAUGUGUUUUUGUUCUAGUUAUGGAGAUAAUGAGUUACGUGUUUUAGCAUCUAACAUCCCUCUCUGAAGUCUAGAUCUAAAUUUGGGUUGCCCGUCUAAUGCUCCAUCGAGGGUUGCUAGGGGCGGUUGAGGAUCUAGAAGAGCACAUCUAGGUCAUUGGGGUCUAGGUUGGCAUGGGUCUAGGUUGCUAGUCUAAUGCUCCACUGAAUGUUGCGCAAGGUUUGUUGAUGAUGGCUAAGGUUGUCUGAUGGUUUGGGUUUGCUUGUUUGGGUCGAUGAUUGUGUGUUUAGGUCGCCUAUUUGUAUGCUCUAACGAGGGUCAUCAAGGGAGGCCGAGGGUCUCCAAGGAUUUGGGUUGACGAUCGCGUAGUUUAGGUUGUCGAGGUCAUGCGACCCUCAGGGUCUCCUAGCUUAGGCUACCCGAGGUUGCUUCACCUCGGUGUCACCUUGCAUGACCACUUCGACGAUUCAAUUGUUGCUGACAUUCAAUUUGCUUCCCAAGUUUGCUCCCAAGAUGAGAUAUCUCUACUCUCCAGUAGUUAUAUAGUUUAUUUUUUUUCGUUCUUUUUUCUACCUUCGAAGUUACAUUGCAAAAAUAUCAUGAAAGUCAUUUAACCAAACAAUAUUUACUUUGAGUCAAAGAUUCAUGGGGCAAUGACUUUGCAUUCUCUCAAAACUCUCCCAAACACGCAUUUUGAGUUACAGUGAUUGGUUUCAAGUUGGGUAGAUUUUAGACCUCAAAUCUGAAAUCUAAUCUAUUAGAACCGAUUCCAAGUUUUUGGAACCUAAAACCUAUUUUGUAUGUCUUGGAACCUGUCAUUCUUUUGUUCUUUUUUUUUUAGGUUCACUUUUUAUAGCAAAAAAAUAUAAGUAAUAAAAUGGUUCAAAGUAAAAGAUGACUAAGGGUGAAGGAGCAAAGGUGAGUUAGGAACGAGCGAGUGUGAGCCGUGAGUGAGCGAGGAGGAGGGUGAGUCGCCAGCAAGCGAGAGAGAAUUGCGAAAUGUUUGAGUAAGGUUGAAGAGAACAGAGAAAAAAGAGAUAGAAAAAUAUGUUAAGAGAAAAAUUGGGGUUUCUAAACUUUAUGAAACUUGUACCAAAUUUGAUUCAAUGACAUAUGGUUCUUCUUAACUGACCAAAAAAAGAAAAAAAGAAAAAAAAAAGACAUAUGGUUCUUCAGUUGAAAUUGCAAACAAGAUUGGUUCGAACGACUGAUGAUCCGGUUCUCGAAUAGAACUGGCCCGACAACAGAGCUCUACUAACAAACCCUAGUUUCAUAAAAAUCCUAGUAUCGUAAUGUCAUUUGCCCAGUAUUUACCUAGUAUGAGAUGAUUAUAUUUUUUUAGCAAGAGGAAUUCCUUUAAUCGCAUCUUUUGAUUAGUGGCAAAUAAACUUGAUUUAUAUUCAUGAUUUAGGAUCCAUCGAAUUUAAUUGGACAAAAUCUUAUUUAAUCAAGAAUAGAGGAAAUUAAGGGCGGUCGCAAAAUAGAAAUAGAAUUCGUCAUCAUCGUAAUGUGACGGACCAAGUGUUUCCAGAUAGACCUCCGGGGUUCGCCAUUUCGCUCGAACGUUCGUCCACCGACACUCAGAAAGACCGCGAAGGUACGAGAAUGAUCCUCUCUUUCCUAUUUAACUCCCAACUUGUCUUCCAGGCUCCAUCGUCAAACGGUAGCAAUUCUCAUCGUCUAUCUCAAGCAUUCUAUCGAACACUUUCUCCGCUCAGUCUCGCAUUUUCACCAGUAAACCCAACAACCAUGUCGCUCAUCCCAAGCUGGUUCGGCGGCCGCCGCAGCAAUGUCUUCGACCCUUUCUCCCUCGACCUCUGGGACCCCUUCAAGGAUUUCCCUUUCCCUUCCUCCUCCCUCUCCGCCUCUAAUUUCCCUCAAACCAUCCGAGAAAAUACUGCUUUUGUGAACACGAGGAUCGACUGGAGGGAGACCCCGGAGGCCCACGUGUUUAAGGCGGAUCUCCCAGGGCUCAAGAAGGAGGAAGUCAAGGUGGAGAUCGAGGACGAUCGGGUGCUCCAGAUAAGCGGCGAGAGGAACGUGGAGAAGGAGGACAAGAACGACACCUGGCACCGGGUGGAGAGGAGCAGCGGGAAGUUCAUGAGGAGGUUCAGGGUGCCGGAGAACGCGAGGAUGGAUCAGGUGAAGGCCUCGAUGGAGAAUGGG
rnacentral:lncRNA from 1 species